GGGCCUAUAGCUCAGUGGUAGAGAAUUUUACUGCAGAUCAAGAGGUCACCAGUUCGAACCCGGUUGGGCCCU
rnacentral:tRNA from 1 species